UAAAUAAAUGUUGGAUAAAUUACAUUGUAACAGCAAAAGCUUACAGGGGGAGGGGCAUGGAAUGUAUAACGCAGGAGGUGGGACUAGAACGCUCUGAUGUCAGAUUACAGGGGGAGGGGCAUGGAAUGUAUAACGCAGGAGGUGGGACUAGAACGUUUUGAUGUCAGAUUACAGGGGGAGGGGCAUGGAAUGUAUAAUGCAGGAGGUGGGACUAGAACGCUCUGAUGUCAGAUUACAGGGGGAGGGGCAUGGAAUGUAUAACGCAGGAGGUGGGACCAAAACACUCUGAUGGAAGCUUACAGGGGAGGGGCAAGGAAUGUAUAACGCAGGAGGUGGGACUAGAACGCUCUGAUGGAAGCUUACAGGGGAGGGGCAAGGAAUGUAUAACGCAGGAGGUGGGACUAGAACGUUUUGAUGUCAGAUUACAGGGGGAGGGGCAUGGAAUGUAUAACGCAGGAGGUGGGACUAGAACGUUUUGAUGUCAGAUUACAGGGGGAGGGGCAUGGAAUGUAUAAUGCAGGAGGUGGGACUAGAACGCUCUGAUGUCAGAUUACAGGGGGAGGGGCAUGGAAUGUAUAACGCAGGAGGUGGGACUAGAACGCUCUAAUGUCAGAUUACAGGGGGAGGGGCAUGGAAUGUAUAAUGCAGGAGGUGGGACUAAAACAUGCCGAUGGAAGCUUACAGGGGGAGGGGAGUUGAAACACAAGCUGUGGGUGGGACUAUAACUGACGGCAUUUUUCAGUUCUAAAAAUAAACACACAUAGUGAAAGGGAUCAUCGGUUCGGUUUAUUUUAUAGGCCUUUGUCUUUAAAAGGUUAAUCUGGUUUGAUUUGUCUUAGGGUUGCAAGUUCACCCACUUAACGGGGUUGUUCACCUUUAAUGUAACUUUUUGCAUGAUGUAGUUGUAGAGAGUGGUAUUA